AAUCUUACCUGUCAGGGGAGAUACCUUGAUCACAAAGGAGGUUUUCCCAGGGUGAGGCUCAUCCAUUGCACUCCGGGUGUGCUGACCCCUGCGAUUUCCCCAAAUGCAGGAAACUCAACUACAUAAUUUGUGGUAGUGCAUCAACAAACCAUAGUUUGUUGUU